UGGGGAAUUUUGGACAAUGGGCGAAAGCCUGAUCCAGCAAUGCCGCGUGUGUGAAGAAGGCCUUCGGGUUGUAAAGCACUUUUGCCCGGAAAGAAAUCCUCUGGGUUAAUACCUCGGGGGGAUGACGGUACCGGAAGAAUAAGCACCGGCUAACUACGUGCCAGCAGCCGCGGUAAUACGUAGGGUGCAAGCGUUAAUCGGAAUUACUGGGCGUAAAGCGUGCGCAGGCGGUUUUGUAAGACGGAUGUGAAAUCCCCGGGCUUAACCUGGGAACUGCAUUCGUGACUGCAAGGCUAGAGUAUGGCAGAGGGGGGUAGAAUUCCACGUGUAGCAGUGAAAUGCGUAGAGAUGUGGAGGAAUACCGAUGGCGAAGGCAGCCCCCUGGGCCAAUACUGACGCUCAUGCACGAAAGCGUGGGGAGCAAACAGGAUUAGAUACCCUGGUAGUCCACGCCCUAAACGAUGUCAACUAGUUGUUGGGGAUUCAUUUCCUUAGUAACGUAGCUAACGCGUGAAGUUGACCGCCUGGGGAGUACGGUCGCAAGAUUAAAACUCAAAUGAAUUGACGGGGUCAUAGCUGUUUCC
rnacentral:rRNA from 1 species